UUGUUUUUUCUUCUAAAAGGUACCAACAACACUUUCCACUCCAAAAGAAACAAAUAGCAACGUUACUUUCCAAAGCAUUGCAGCAAGUUGAUAUAAAGGAAAAAUUGGCAGCAACUUUUUUUUUCUCUUUUCUAUCUCACGUUAUUAGGUGAGCUUAGAGGAUCAUUUUCUUUAUUCCAUUUUGAAGAGAGAAGUCACGGCCAUGGUUGCCAAGAGAAAGGCCAUACGGCCAUCCAUGGUUGAAGGAAAGAAAUAAUUUUGUUACUAUUUUAAUUAGGCUUCAAGUGUAGUACAAAUUCAAGGAGGUGAUAGUAACAUUGGAUUUUAAGUUGAAGAAGAAGAAAUUGCGAAAUUAGAGCAAUUAAGAGUAGAAAUUCCUCCGAAAAAAAUUAAGGCUAAAAGAGCGACAAAGCGAACGGUUUUGCGAUUGGUCAUUAACAGGUACAGACGACCGAUUUGCUGAUCCGCCCGCUUAGGAUCCUAUUCUGCUGUCUCGGAGUGCUCCUUUGUCCGGAGCCUAUAUUUUGGGUACAGACUUUUCUGUUGCACAUAUGUAUGUUAUUCAGGGGUAUAACGGGGCCCUGUCUCGUCUUAUGAUUCUGUUAUGAUCUGUAGAGGUCUGUAGACAUACAUGUGGGUUGUGUAUAUGUUUUGGGUUGAUAUGUUUUGCGAUAGCCUUAUCGGCUUCCCCGCAUUGUAUCUGUUUAUCUGUGGUAAUUAGUAACGUUAUUCGCCUUC